rnacentral:rRNA from 1 species
AAACCAGCACCUCAAGUGGUCAGGAUGAUUAUUGGGCCUAAAGCAUCCGUAGCCUGCUCUGUAAGUUUUCGGUUAAAUCUGUACGCUCAACGUACAGGCUGCCGGGAAUACUGCAGAGCUAGGGAGUGGGAGAGGUAGACGGUACUCGGGAGGAAGUGGUAAAAUGCUUUGAUCUCUCGAUGACCACCUGUGGCGAAGGCGGUCUACCAGAACACGACCGACGGUGAGGGAUGAAAGCUGGGGGAGCAAACCGGAGUAGAAACCCCAGUAGUCC